UCCACCACAGCUCACGGCAAUGCUGGAUCCUUAACCCACUGAGCGAGGCCAGGGAUGGAACCCGCAACCUCAUGGUUCCUCGUCGGAUUGGUUUCUGCUGGCCACGAUGGGAAUUCCAUAACCUCUCUAGUUACGACAUAGAAAAGCUUCUUUUUUCAUUGCCUAUAAUAUGAAGUUCCAAAUCACUUAAUAUGACAUAAAAGGUUUUUAAUCAUGUCAUUUACCUAUAAAUCGAUAGAGAAAACCCCCCAGAUCUCACCAGGUCACUUCUUAAACUCUUUCUUGGCUUCAUCCCAAACCUCUAAUCAGGCAUGAUAUCCAAAUCUGAUCGCAUUAUACAAAGUCCCACUUCCUUGCAAGAGGCCUGAAUUUUGUCCUGUACCUUCUCCUUGAAGCCUUAUAAUAUCUCUAGUCACCUGUAUGAUAGGAGCUCAACUCCUUGGCAUAAAAAAGCCCACAGUUUAUUACAUCAUUUCUUUGCCAGCUGCUCUUCUCAAACCCAGACACUUUCCAGACACUUUGCCAUAUCGCUCUCUUGAAAUCUCUGGAUGGCUGCAGUCACAAUUCCGGAGCACAACACAAAAAUGGCAUCCUGUUGUUCUUCCGAAUCGUGUCCAAAGCGUCUCUGCCGUGUGCUGUCAGUUCAAUCUGGGAGCCUCUGUGGGAGACCUGCCCCCCUCUCUGUGACUCUCUGAUCAAGUUCCACCCACAGAGUACAGAGAGGGUGCCCUUGGGCCCAGCCCUGCCUCCCCUGAGCUGUCCCUGUGCCUUCAUUGUCUGGUUCAUCAAAUCCAGACAUCUUCGCGUAAAAUGUGUUUUCCCAACGAAAUCCCCAGGAGCCCGACCUCUCAUCCGUCCUCCUUCAAACCCUUUCCUGGCUAAGCUCCAAAAGCCUCUGCCCAAAGGUGAGACCACGUCCUCCCAGAGGAAAUGCGUGCCACCUUCCCCUCCCACGGAAAAUCCCAUCUCCUUGGCACGUUAUAUAAAAAUCCGUUAUAUUAUCCGUUGCCGUAAAAAUCCACUCGUGGAGCUCUGCUCAAAGGUGUACAUUUGAUCAUGUAACUCUCCGCUUUAAAACUUUUUAAGCUUUCUCCAUCGCCCGUAACAUCAAGUCCCAACGACUCAUCAUAAAAUGCAAUGCUUCACCAUGUCAUUUCUCUUUUCGGAGUGGCCUCUUAAACCGGACCGCCCCCCAAAUCUCGCUCUGACAUUCUCCAAGAAACCCUUUAUUGGCUUAAAUCCAAACUUCUUAGCAUGAUAGGAAAAUUUGAUCUUGUCAUCCCUUAAAAUAAAAUUCACAUUUCCUAGCGGUCUAUAAAAUUGGGUUUUGUCGCUCCAUCUUCAAACCUGACACUGUCUCUUUUUUAAAAACUAAAUUAUUCGUUUAAUGGAAGUGUAGUUGAUUUACAGUAUCGUGUUAGUGUCAGGUAUAUGCCAGAGCGACUCAGUUAUAUAGUAACCACAUAUAUGUAUCAGGUAAAUUAAUGUGUGUGUGUGUAUAUAUAUAUGCAUAUGUAUGUACACCUUACCAGGUCUCUUGAUGGUGAAAUUAUGGAAUAAAAUCCAAAAUCUUAGCAUAAAAUAUGAAUUUUAUUUUAUAAUUUCAUUGCAAACUCUUUAUCCGAUACAAAGUGAAACCUUUGUCACUCUCUUAGAACUUUUUAUUAGCUAAAAUCAAAUUCCUAGGCAUGUGCAAAAAUCUCAUUGUGUCAGAGCCUCAAAAUAAAUCCCACAUUUCUUGGUGCCAUCCCCCUGUUGAUCGCGUAACUCCUCGAAUCAAAGUCUUUGACUUCGGGGUCAAUCACAUCUCCUUGGUAGGCUCUGAAAGUCAGACUUUUGACGCCUCCUCAACACAUAAAAUGCAAUUGUUUUAGCCAGGUACUGAAAUGUGUGACUCCUGCCUUUUCUAUGUACAGUUUCCCAAUGUUUCCUUAUAGAAAGGCCAAUGCUUUGAAAUAUAUUUUAUCCUGUUUUUCCUGCAGACAUGUCUCCCGCAGGCAAAACUCUCACCGUCGCAUUUCUUAAAACCCAUUGGCAAGAAAUCAAAUUCCUUAGCAUGCUUAGAAAAGUUUGAUGCUGUUGUUUUUUAAAACACAAAGUCCAGAUUCCCCCCCUCACCCCCAAAUCUGUUCAUGAAACUCCCGCUUAAAGUCUUUUGAACACAUUUUCAUCACUAACAAAACGUCUCCACCUCUUAGCGUGGCGCCCACGUCUAAGCAUGGUGCCCUUAGGGUAAAGCCCUUCGCAUUUCAUGUCCGUGACCAGAAAUCCAGUGGCCUGAGCAUGAAACGAACACGGGACGGGGUGUUUGUUACAUUGAAACAGCUUCACAUUGCUCUUCAUUUACUCAGGACAUGAUAAAGCCUACAUUUGCACGAAACCCACGUUUCACCACCUGCAGUUCCUAGCUUCAAUUUCUUCUUCUUUAUGCCCGAGAGAUGGGGUUUCUUAUUUCUUGCCCCCCCAACACAUCUUGAUUUUAUUGCCUUUUAAUGUUUUUAAGCUCGUCUCUCUACCUACGAUUCAUUCAUUCAUACGCAUGUCCUGAUUCUUUUUUCCACACCAGGCAUCACGCUGGACCUUCAAGACAAAGACGUGGAGCCAGCGCUUCCCUGUGGAAUAUCCCUGGGGCGAUGAGGCCCACACCCCUCAGUCCUGUGCUGGAGGUGAACUUGGGGUCGGGAGUGGGGGGCAGGGCUACCCCUGGCGAGCAUCUCCUUCGAGGGUCCCCGGGGCUCGGCUGCCUGUGCCUUUGCCAGGACUUUGCAGGUGCCCUGUGCUCCUGGGUCCUGCUCUGGACAACGGCCUGUCAGCUUUCCUUCUGACUCCCGUUCUCCACGGGUCCACCCGCCGCAGCCCCGUGCAGCCCAGAGGCCACCCCUGCCUCUUCUCUGGGCUCUCCGGACGUGUAAACCUCAGACCUACCAGCGCAGCUGGAGACAUGGUGCGGUCUCCAGCCUCCGGAACAUAUCUUGAAGAGAUAGCUGUUGAUUGGGAAAUUCUUCCCUAACCAAAAAACCCAAGCCCAAACCAGAAAACCACAACUAACCCAAAUCCAGGAUUUAGUGCCCCUAGUCUGGGGUCUCUGCGGUGGGCCCUCUCCCCGACAGCCAUAGACACACAACCUCACCACCUUCGGUGCCCCGAGGCUUCCCGGUCGGUCGGGUCAGUUCCUUGCUUUGCCUCUGAGCAAGUGGCCCAUUGGGUUGGGGCUGCCAACGUGCGUCUAUGAAGGGUUGGGUGUUGGGGGAGCAGGGGGGCCCCUUCCUCGGCGAAUACCUCUCCCCGUCAGCUCACUUGUACAGUAAAGGAAAUCUGAUUUUAAAAAUAGAGCUUGGAAGAGGAGAUGAGAGGAUAUUUAGGAGCAGAGCUGAGCCUGGGGCGGGGGGCGGGGUGGAGGAAUUAGGGAAGAGGUGAGGAGAGGGGUGGCGGCCUGCGGCCAAGUUGCUGAGGGGCGGUGAGAAAGGGGAGGUGUGAGCACGGGAGGGGUGGCCCCCAGACACUGGCCGACAGGCCUGGAGUCCCCUGGCUCUCGGGCUGUCAGGUGGGCUAACAUCAGCUGGAGACACCCCCCCCCCCCACCGCCUACCGCCGCCGGCUCGCGCUGCCUCUGGGCCCUGCUCAGAGUCACUUGGAUUUGAGGGUCUUAGGGGCUGAGUGACCUGGAGAUCUGUUCCCUGCAGAGUCUCCACUGCCCCACGAUGGGGGGGGGGCUCUUGGGGACCCUGGGAAGGCCACAGGCUGUUGUGAGUUAUUCUCUUACAUUAAGGUCAGGGUCAAGGUCAAGGUGUGUCCAGGCUGAGGUGGGAGUCCUGCUGGGCUCUCUGGCUGGGCACCGGCAGCGUGGGUCCCUCUCUUCGCCCAGCUCGUUUGUUGGGAGCAGAUUAGGAGGGUGGGGGGGCCUUCUGAGAGUGCUCCCUGAGGGCCCCCUGAGGAGCUCGGGUUGGGUCCCGGGUCCCAGUGGACCAUGGGACCGUCCAGGGCUGCUGGCCUGUCAUAGCUCCAGGUAGGGAGUCGGGGGUCUGGGCCCCUGCCUUUCCACUCAACCCCCUGACCUGUGCCAAGACCCUUGGGCCUUACGGAGGGAGAUGCUUCUCACCUUGACCCAGAACAGCGAGGCCCAGGUACUCUCGUCCCCGCCCCUGGCCUGGCUAGAGGCCCCCGACUGUCCGUCUCCCUGGCCUCAGACAUCACUGGCAACACUGAGUGUCUAGACAGGGGCCACUGGGUUAUGGCAGAGCUGGGGCUGGCCCCUGGGCUUGUCCUCCGAGUCCAGCCCAGGCGGGGUGGGGGCCUCCUGGAGAGGGUGCCCAGCUCCCCGCUUCCCCGGCCAUCGAGGUGAAGGGCAGUGCCCCUGAUUCUGAAGAGAGCGUGCCCCUCCGCUGCUUGACUGGCAGCUCCAGGGGGCGGCUGGAUCACUCUGCCCAGAAUAACCCUGGGAGGGGGAGAGGGCCGCCUGCGGGAGGGGCUGAGCGAGGGGUCACGGAUGGCCAUGUCCUCCUCCUUCGGGCGACCCAAAUCGGCCUGGCCGAUCCGCUGUGCCCGAAGCCGCCCUUGCCCUUCAAGGCAAGUGGGCUGGGAAGGUGCUGCCAGCCCAGGACCUAGGCUGACUGUCCAUGUGACCUUCCCCCGGGUCCUCAGUUUCCCCAGAUCUGCGGGGGGGGUUUGGGCUGUGUCUUCUCUGCCCCUGUAGGUCUGGGGUCCCGAGAAUUGCCCAUGGGGUAACCCUCGGGAGCAGGGGUGAGGGGAGGGGGCGGGCUGAGCAGGUGGGGGCCCUCCUACCCUUUCCACAGUUGGGAGCACAGGCAGGGGGGUUUCUUUGUCCAGGUUUGACCCCCGGGCUGGGCGAGUGAACUCUCUCGGGUCUCUGGCGGGCUCCCUCUGUGCCUGGUGCCAUGGUGGCAGGCCUUUGUCAUGGGGGUUCCUGGGGCAGGAGGCUGGGGCCUUGGUGCAGGGCUGGCGAGGGCUGGAGUGGGGGGCAGAGGCUGGCCUCCGUCUCCCCAUUUCCGUAAAGGAAGGGGCACGCCAAGCCUUUUGUACACCGGAAGGGCUGAAAUCACCUUUGGGAUUCUUGGGAUUAUUAUUUCAGCACACUCGCUCUAAGGGUAAGGUCAGGACUCAGACGGCCUCUUCGCGCGUGGUGCCACCUUUCAUCCUCCCGGUAACCCGGGCGAGGUGAUGAUGCCCUGUCUUUCAAGUGAGAGAACCUGAGCCCAGGGGGUGAAGCCAGUGGCCCAGGAGCUGUAAUUAGCGGGGGCAGUGGUGCUCGGACCCCGGUCAUUGGACGGCCCUGUGACCGGGGCUAGUGAGGGAUGGCGCGUGGAGAGGCAGGGGGCGCGUGUCCUCCAGACGGGGGUCAUCAGCCUCCCUGCAUCACAGGAAGGGUUCCCCAGGGAGUGUCUGCUCUGUGUCAGGCAUGGCCCUGGGCCCGAGGCCCCCAGACUGACGGUGCUCCUUCCAGGGUGGGCUUGCUUCCUGGCUCACGGGGUCAAGUUGAGAAGGCGAGAGCCCCGUUUGGGAAGGAAGAGGCAGAGGCGUCAGUCGAAGCCAGGCUUAGGCUCUCCGCCCUCCACUGGAGGGUGGGGUGGGCGGUGGCCAUCUGGGGACCCCAAGGGACAUCACAUUGUGGCGUCCCUGUGGUCAGCUUUGUGGCCUGGAGGGAGGCCAGAUCAGAGGAAGGGCCUUCUCAGUGUCUGCCCUCCAUCUCCUCGAAAGUCUGCGGCCACUCCCAGCUCCUUUUGGCUAAUUCGGUUGUCGGCAGAGGGACAGGACAGCUGGCCCAGGACCUGCUAAUUAUAGCUGCUCAAGUGUUUGAGGGGGCAUUGAGUCCCCCAUGUCACGGGUUUUCUUGCAGACAGACGAACCCUUAGCCUCUGUUCCUGACACCGGCGCAGCUCCCAGAAUGGCCCAGACGCCCCAGCCCCACCCCAGGCCCCCUGGGAGGUCCGCGCGGGACCUCGCCCCAGGUCUUACCUUUGAUGCGAGUGGUUGGCGGAUCUGGUCCUGUCCCGUCGGCUGGAGCUCCGCUGCUUCCUAGAAAGUGAUUGGAUAAAUGGGGUUCUCUGAGUAUGAAAGCGGCCACCGUCCACUCGCCUCCCUGUCCCGCUUUUCUCUUGGGGCCGCAUGGCGGCCCGUCCCUACCUUUGGGUGCGUCUCAGUAUUUCCUAUGUCCUUGGCUGUCUUCGUUCUGUCACCCUUGUCACACCCAGGGAAGCCGUAACUUCAUUAUCCCCCUUCUGCAGGGGAGGAACCCGGGGCCCAGCGCCCAACCGCAGGCCCCGGGGGGACCAUGUGCCUUCUCUAACGGGGACCGACCAAGGCCGUGUGUCUGGUCAGGCUUGGGGUCUGCGUGUCAGCCCAGCUGGGGUGCACGGUGGCGCUCGUGCCCUGCUUUGCUCUGUGAUGCCCAAGCUGUUGGCAAGUUCUUAGCGGGGCCCCCACCGCGGGCUCCCCUGGGCCCUGAUGGAGGCCCGCACUGGCUACUCCUUUCUCUCAUCACCUCCACCCCCGUCCCGCACGCAGGUGGGGCCUGGGGCAGCGGCUCGGAGAGGUGGGCUGCACCUCAGCCAGGGAACCCGCUGGGUGUCUUCUCUUCUCCCCUCCCAGGUGGCGUGGAGGUGACAUGGCGGCUUUCUCCGGGAAGGAGGAAGACAGAUGCCGGGCCCAGGAGCGAAUGGAAAGCUGAGGCUCACUGCCCUCCCCCCCGGUGGGCAGUGAGUCAGUGGGUUCCCGAGGCCACAGUGGGGUCCCCCAGGAUGGCACAGCUGCCCAGAGGAGUGUGAGGCCGGCCCUCCGAGGCUGACCUUGCUGCAGCCCAGGUGAAUCUGUACCCUAGCUGUCCCUUUGAAAGCCCUUGUCAUCUGUGGAGACUCUGGGCACGAGGGGUAGGCAGGUCAGCAGUGGGUCCCGGCGGUCUUUUCUCGAGUCAACCCUGUAACUUUUAUUGGCAUGCCAGGAUUUAUAUCGCCUUCUGGAGCAGUGAGUGUCUUCACGGGGAAUUACCCGGGCCUGGAGGCGGGUGCCAGUCACCUGGGUGCUGUAUUUUAUUUGUAUUUAUCAUAAAAAUCUUUUGUAUCUGAAAAACUAUGACAGACACCUCACAGUAUCCACCAGACCCACAUCCUGUCCGGAAUAAAACACCGCGUAAUAAAUAGCAGAGCCUCGUGUGCAGGCAGGGUGAUCAAAGAGCCGUUCAGGCUGGCAGAGGACCGGCUAACCAACCUCUGCUCCCAUUGCUUCUGCCCAAAGUCACGGUUGAAAAUAGGUGUCUAGAAGUGCUAGAAGGUCCUGCCCGUGUUAGCUUGGCGGGGUGGGGGUAGGGGGAGAUGCUAAUCGGCUAACCCAUCUGUUGAUCUGUGCCUAUGGAGUGAGGGCAGAACCGGAUGAGGCUUCAGGCCACUUUGGGCUUAAAGUGGGUUUUGUUUUGUGUUCUCGGGAUCGUGGAGCCUUGAUGUCUUCACGUGCGGAAAAGGGUCUUCCUUGCUGCUCCCUUAACGCCUUGCCGUUCAGGGAUCCUGACGCCUGUGACAGCUGGAGGGGGACCUGGGGACCUGAAGCUUAGUGGUGGGCAGGGGCUGCGGUGCCUCGGGGAGAGAGGGGAUUCUGAUGGGAGGGCGGGGUGCUGCCCUGGUCACGAAGGGGGCCAGGCAGGGACCUGCAAGGCUGCUCCCCAUGUUCAGAGGGUUGAUGGGCUGUGACCACACCCCCGGGUGGUUAGAACUGGGGAGGAAACCGGGCAGCUGCGGGCUCCAGCCUGGAAUUGAGCCAUCUGAGGAAGAGGCAAAGCUUGGCUCAUGCCCCUCCCCCCCACCUGGCACCCCUCCCCAGAGGCUUCCGUGUCCCCUCUCCGGGGACUCUCAUGUCACAUUUCUCCCCAAGUCCUCAUUCCAGUUAGCUAAUCCCGGAGGAUACGGGCCAAGGCAUUCGCUUUGGGGCCUUUUAAAGACCCAAAAGGAAAGUCUUCCUGGAUGGGUGCCUUGCAGACACCCGCCUGGCAGCUCUGGAGGGAUCUGAGGCCUGUGGUGGUGAAAUCCCAGCCAGUGGGCACGCACCUGCUGGCCUCAUGUCACUGACAUCCCACCAGGAGGCUAGGGGUCGGGGCGGGGGGCCUCCAGCUUUAGAAUGUAAAAAAUUAAAAAAAAGAAUGAACUUGGGGACAAAAUAAAUCCCUCAUGUCUGCAGAACUUGUUUGGGGGGGACUGUGCCCACUCCAAAACGCUCUUCCUUUUGCAUUUGUGGAAAAAAAAAAAAAAGAAGACUAAAAGCUAAAAAAAGAAAAAAACAAAACCCCAAACACACCAACCCAAACAAAACCAAGCCCCACACACAAAAUGUUUAUUUUAAUUAUGAAAGAAAUGCAUUGAUAAUUAACACACUCAUUAGCAAAUCAAACGCUGCAGAUAAAAGCUAAAACCAUCGUCUGGUCGGCUGUCAAUCCCAGCUCCCCCCUCCCCACCAUUUUAACUGCUGUUAUCAGAGUCAGGUGUCUGGUUCCAGAUUUUUUUUUUUCUGUGCAUUUGCAUAUGUAUCUAAACAGACCUCUCGCAUAUAGGAUUCUGUUUGCUUUUGACAUAACCGUCUCACGGUGUACCUGUCUCUUUGCACAGCUUGGUUUUCUUCGCUCAAGGAUCUGCUUGGGGAUCAUAGGGACCGACCCGGUUCCUUAGAGGGACACCUUAGUAGCCUGUAACCCGCACCCACCGGAGUUUAGUUAACCUCCUCGCUGCUGUCCUGAAAGUCCUGGGUCCUUAGCCGUGGGGCUGGCUUGUGGAGGCAGGUGGCUCCUCAGCUCCUGUGUCGCUUGGCUCCAUUUCGCCUAACUGAGAACUGCCUCUUGUUCACCUGGGCAGCUUCAGAGGACCUGGCGGUGCGCUCUGCGGCUCGGGUUGGCUUGCUCACAUCAGUGUCCAGAUUCUUUCCCGCACUUUCGAGGGGCCCUGAGAUUACAGAAGAUGAGAAGUUUUGGAGAAGUUAAGGACUUGUCCAAGACUGCCCAGGAAGCAGGACCCAGGACUCCAGCCCAGGUUUGUCUGAGUCUUCUGCGGCGUGGAGAGGCGGGAGGGUGGAUGGAUGGAUGCCUGCCCCAGGGUGCGCAGUGGAUAGAGAGAUGGCUGGCUGGCUGGCGAGGGGGUGAAGGAAUCAAGAGCAGAGGGUGGGCGGAUGGGUGAAGGCGAGAGAAUAGUCAGGUUCUCACCAAGACCGGAGGCUCACUUGAUUUGUGAAGAGUGGUUGCCUCUGAGUGGAGCUGCUGGGGAAGCUCCUGCCUCGGAGUGUGCUCAGUGGCUCAGGUGGCUCUGGCACAACAGGUGGGCUGACAGCUCGUAGGGACCGAGUCCCAGGGGUCAGAGCUGCUCAGUGGCUGCUCUCAGCCCAGCUGCGUUCGCACUGCCCCGAGACCCAGCAGCCAGCCUCCUUUCCACCGACGCUCCUGGAUAACUGAGCCCUAAGGCCAACCCCAUGCUCAGGCUCUUCCUAGUCCCUCGGCAUAGCUUUGUGUCCUCUAAGUCAUUCCAGCCACCUUCCAUGAGAGCAGUUGCCAUCUUCAAUGAAGACAAAAGGAAACGGAGGUUUAGAAGUCGUCGGUGCCUUGUCCCAAAUCAUGUAGGGAGCAGAUGCAGAGCUGGGACUUGAACCCUCGUCUGCUCUUCUUCCAAAGCCAUACCCUCUCCCCAUUUUCCUUUCUCUGUGACUGUGCCUGAAAACAUUGGCACUCCUUGGGGUUCACCCAUGUCAGACUCACCCUCCUGGCCCCCCAGGGAGCCUGCCUUCAUAUCCCCCAGGCUUUAGAUUUAUGUCUCAAGUAACAUCUUCUCUAGUUGGUCCUAUUUGUAAUUAUCACACAUGCAGGGGCCAAACCCAUCACCGAUAUCCCGCAGGCUAAUGAUCAAGUUAUAAGUUGCUGGUGGCUCUGAUGACUAAGGGAAGCAGAUGUAGACCUGAAGCCCGAGAGGGCACAAGGCAAGAGGGGCUCGGGGAGAGGGCCGAGGGCAGACUGGCCGGCCUCCCUGAAGACCUGGCUCCAGUCCCGCAGACGCGUUCAGAUAAUCUGCUGAUGGACGAAGCCCUGUCCCACACGUGGCAGAUGCUCAGCUUGCAACCCCAGCUCUGCCAUUUGCUAGUUUUAUGAGUUCAGACAAAGUAUUCAACCCCCGCGCCUCACGUUCCUUCGUCAUAGUUUGGGGAUACCAGGAGUUCAUUCAUGGGUGCUUGAAGAUGGCAUGAGUCAGAUAUUGAAAGUGGUUCAAGCAAUGCUUCCCAUGUAAUGAGGACACAAUACGUAUUUCAUUACAAUUAAAAUGAUAAUUGCUCUGACUGAUCUCAUGGAGAUGGGGAGUUCUCUGUACCAAAGGGACGUGCUCCAUCAUCUGAAAGGUUAAGCCCGGGAAUAGGGGACAUUCCCCGGAAGGAAUUUUCUUGGAGCUUGAAGAGCGUGAGCGCGUUGGAUGGGAGCUGAGAAGAGGCUGAGCAGGUGAAGGGCAAGAUGAAGAAUGAACGUUCCCUUGGCUCAACUUCACGGCUCUAGAAGCAGCGGGCCAGUUUCCCCAGGUCCCACAGACACCCCACCAAACUUCUUUCCCUACAUGUCUUUUUGGGGGAGGGGGAGAGGCAUAGAAAACAGCCACACUUGACAUGCUUCUUGUUUGGUUUUUUGAAGGCGGCCCAUUGGAAUGGAGGGUUGUUCCAGGAGAGUCCCGCACCCACGUGGGACAUGAGGAUUGGUGACCUUCUCCCAUCCCUGGACCUUUGCCCCUGGAGCCUAGGUGGGUGUGGCUGCAUGUGGGGGUGGCACAGGGCAGGGGUGGUGGUGGUGGGGGGUGAAUGCAUUUGGAUGCCCUCACAGCCAGAUGGCAGGAGAUGGCUUUAGCGUCUGGGCUGACUUGCUGGGCCACAUUGGGCUACAAUCCCAGCCUGACUGGAUCCCAGAAUCUCUGCAGGUUCCGUGGGCGCUGUCACUUCUGCAUCUCUUCCAAGAGAGGCCGUUUACGUAUUCAUCCUGGAUUCUGUGCCUCCCGGGGGGUGCCCUAUGCUCCUCUUUGUCCACGUGUGCAUUCAUGGCGCACGUUGUAGGGGGCAUCAGAGAGCAAGACCUGCUGUGAACAUGAGGUGCCGGGGCCAAGUGGGUACAAGACACCAGGGCCAGACUUCCCACAUAUGCCCCCUAGCUCGGCAUCUUCCUAGCUGUGUGGCUACUUAAGUAACUAAGAAGUCGCUUGACUUCUUUGAGGCUCCAUUCCCUCAUAUGUAAGAUGGGGCUAAAAUAUCACCUUUUCCCUGAGGCUUUCUUCUUCUUGUUUUCUAUGCCUGUUUCCCACUGUAUCUGUCUCCAAGUUUUUUUGUUUUUGCCUUUUUAGGGCCGCACCCGUGGCAUAUGGACGUUCCCAGGCUAGGAGCUACU